rnacentral:tRNA from 1 species
UCUGGCAGUAGUGAACGGGAUUGCUUCUUCCGUCUUAACAGUGGGGACCUUGCAUUGGUUCGAAUCCGGCUUUCAGAU